rnacentral:rRNA from 1 species
AUACGGAGGAUCCGAGCGUUAUCCGGAUUUAUUGGGUUUAAAGGGUGCGCAGGCGGCCAUUUACGUCCGCGGUUAAAUCGUGGGGCUCAACCCCAUUCUGCCGUUGAUACUGGGUGGCUUGAUUGCGGUCGAGGUUGGCGGAAUUCGUUGUGUAGCGGUGAAAUGCAUAGAUAUGACGAAGAACACCGAUUGCGUAGGCAGCUGACCAGACCGCAAAUGACGCUCAUGCACGAAAGUGCGGGGAUCGAACAGGAUUAGAUACCCUGGUAGUCCGCACAGUAAACGAUGAAUACUUGUUUUCGGCGAUAUAAUGUCGGAGGCAAAGCGAAAGCGAUAAGUAUUCCACCUGGGGAGUACGCCGGCAACGGUGAAACUCAAAGGAAUUGACGGGG